rnacentral:rRNA from 1 species
GAUGAACGCUGGCGGCGUGCCUAAUACAUGCAAGUCGAACGCUGAAGGAAGGAGCUUGCUCUUUCUGGAUGAGUUGCGAACGGGUGAGUAACGUGUAGGUAACCUGGCUGGUAGCGGGGGAUAACUAUUGGAAACGAUAGCUAAUACCGCAUAACAGUAGAUGUUGCAUGAUAUCUACUUAAAAGGUGCAAUUGCAUCACUACCAGCUGGAUCUGCUUUGUAUUAGCUAGUUGGUGAGGUAACGGCGGACCAAGGCGAGGAUACAUAGCCUACCUGCGAUGGUGGUCGGCCACACUGGGACUGAGGCACGGCCCAGACUCCUACGGGAGGCAGCAGUAGGGAAACUUCGGCAAUAGACGGAAGUCUGACCGAGAAACGCCGCGUGAGGGGAGAAGGGUUUCGGAUCGGAAAGCUCUGUUGUAAGAGAAGAACGAGGGUGAGAGUGGAAAGUUCACACUGUGACGGUAGCUUACCAGAAAGGGACGGCUAACUACGUG